GUUUGAUCCUGGCUCAGGACGAACGCUGGCGGCGUGCUUAACACAUGCAAGUCGAACGGUGACCCCUCUUCGGAGGGUGAUCAGUGGCGAACGGGUGAGUAACACGUGGGCAACCUGCCCCUGACUCUGGGAUAACUCCUCGAAAGAGGCGCUAAUACCGGAUAUCACCCACCGCGGCAUCGCGGUGGGUUGAAAGUUCUUCGGUCAGGGAUGGGCCCGCGGCCUAUCAGCUAGUUGGUGGGGUAACGGCCUACCAAGGCGACGACGGGUAGCCGGCCUGAGAGGGCGACCGGCCACACUGGGACUGAGACACGGCCCAGACUCCUACGGGAGGCAGCAGUGGGGAAUAUUGCGCAAUGGGCGAAAAGCCUGACGCAGCAACGCCGCGUGAGGGAUGACGG
rnacentral:rRNA from 1 species